CUGGGGUACAUGUGCAGAUCAUGCAGGAUUGUUGCAUAGGUUAUUAAGGAUGGAAUAAAUAAUGGGAGAUUUCCAUUUCAUGAAGGAGGUCCUGCGCCAAUAUUACCAGACGAAAAAUGAUGUACCUAUUGGCAUUUUUCCCUGUUGAUCUUGAAAGCAGCCUCUGAACUUCUAAACAUAGUACUCCAGAUAUUGAAAAGAAUAAGAUACUGCAGACCACAGAUCUCACAGUGUCUUCAGGGUGCUCCUGGGAUACAGGAUAAAAUUUGUUCACUGUCUUCAAUACAGAGAACAAAUAAGUGUGAAAAUGGAAUGAGAUUUACAACCUAUCUAACAAUCACAAUGCGGAAUCCUGCUGCUUAUUCCUGACAAGAAGAUGUUAUAAAAGGUUGAAUAAUAUCUUUGGAAUUCAUAAAUUAUGAAUGCAGUCUUCUGCCUGCCAUGGAUGCCCUGAAAAGGACCAAAAACUAACGCAUGGAGAGGAACUCUGAAAUGAACAUGUUCUAGCUUAAAUACAGAAGAAUAUCCCAUAAGGCAUCAGGAAUCAUCUAAUGCUUUACUUUCAAAGAGUGCCUGCUGGCAGGCAAUGCUCAAACUUCCUAUAGAUUGGCAGAAAAAAUAAUUAUUGUGACUCCACUGUGCAAGAUGAAUGGGAAAGAAAGGGUCCUGGUACACAGAACUUCAUUUUCAAUAAAGUCUCCUAAAGAGAAAAGAGAGCAACAACUGAACACUCAAUUUUAUUCUUUGUUCAGCUUGCUGGGUCACAAGAAAUGCUUCUUUCUGAAGUGUUUUUUCUUAUAAAAUAAUAAGAUAAUGUGAAGCAGGCCGGAAGAGUAGGGAUUGCACUCAUUUCAGAAUCAAACAAACCAAGAAUUGAAUAAUCACCUCCUCUACCUUCUAGCUACGCACCUUAAACAAAUUCAUUAACUUUUCUAAGCCUCAGUUAGCCCACCCCACACAUGAAGAUAAUAAUACCUAACGUGAAUAAUUAACAUGUGACUAUCACCUUGAAAUGUUUCUGGCUCCUAAUAGGCAUUCUAUACAUUAGGUCUCUACUAGGCUAAAAUGAGAGCAAAGCAAAUAAGAAAAUACUAAAGGCAGAAUAGCACGAAGAAGAAUGUCUUGUGUCUACACUCGUUACUUCACAGAAAAAUCAUUUUACCUAAUUUGAUCAUAGGUCCUAUCAUAACUCAUCUUUGACAAAAUACAGCAUUUUGUGGUGUGAAAUGAGCUAUAAACCUGACAGUCAGAUCUAGCAUUGGUAAGGGA